UGUUGAAAUACUGGCUUCCACAAGAUCACUGAAGUUAAGCAAUAUUGAGCCUGGUCAGUACCUAGAUGAGUGACUACUUGGGAAUAUCAGGUGCUGUAAG